rnacentral:misc_RNA from 1 species
GGAAGGAUCAUUAACAAGUGUUUGGGAGCCUCCAACUCCUUAACAUUUGAAUCCAAAUCCAACCCCAACGUUGAACCUGUAAACUAUAUGCAACCAGGAGGUAGUUAAAGACUUGGGCGAGAUCUGGCUUUGUGCACAAAUGUGAUGAGUGACAGGUGAGGCCCUUACACAAGGACCACUCCUCUCCUCGUGCGCACUGCAUAGACUGGACCCUAAGGGCCGUUCAACACUGGGCGGUGCUUACCUUUUGUUGCAUGCCGAACCUCAUCACGAACUUUAACCUUUUCACAUUGUUUCUUUGUAAUUAUUUGUUGUCUUUGAUCGUUGUCUCCUCUGCGGAGAGGACACGAUUAGAGCGGCAAUACUUACGAAACUCAUUACAACUCUUAGCAAUGGAUAUCUUGGCUCUCGUAACGAUGAAGAACGCAGCGAACUGCGAUACGUAAUGCGAAUUGCAGAACUCCGUGAAUCAUCAAAUCUUUGAACGCAAAUGGCGCUUUCGGGUUAGUCCUGGAAGCACGCCUCGCUGAGUAUCUUUUAACAAAUCUCCACGGUUCUCGUGGGAAAAUGAGUGUCUCCUUCACCAGGAGUCGCUUUAAAUUUUUCUUUGUCUUGGCAAUAGCUGCUUUUCAUGCACCUGUUUACUAAGGAAAUACUGCAGUGUUCAUUGUUUCGGCCAAGUCCCUGCUGGCUGUUAGUAUGUUUCCAGUGUGUAUGGCUGCGGCUAACAUCUGGAGGCUAUUAAUACGUCAGGUCAGCCUUGCGUCUGAACGUGUAACGCUUCUAAUUUCGUUAGUUGCUUGCAUGAGUAAGGGUUAUUGUUUAUGCAAAGCUUCCCAGGAAUUGAUAUGUCAACCAUAUCACGAAUUAGAUCUCAGCUGAAGCGAGACAACCCCCUGAAUUUAAGCAUAUUAUUAAGGGGAGGAAAAGAAACUAACAAGGAUUCCCUUAGUAACGGCGAGUGAAGCGGGAAAAGCUCAACGUGAAAAUCUCCUAGCUUAGCGGCUAGGCGAGUUGUGCGCUAGAGACGCAGUGCCAGCGUGUGACCUGGGUGUAAGUCCUUUGAAAUAAGGCAUCAUGGAGGGUGAGAAUCCCGUUCGUAACCCAGAGUUCGCCGCGUCCGGUCUGCGUUCAUAGAGUCGAGUUGGUCGGGAUUCCAGCUCUAAUUGGGUGGUAAAUUUCAUCUAAAGCUAAAUAUUGACGAGAGACCGAUAGCGAACAAGUACCGUGAGGGAAAGAUGAAAAGAACUUUGAAAAGAGAGUUAAAAAGUACUUGAAAUUGCUAAGAGGGAAGCGAUGGAAAUCAGUAUUUACUGCUUGUCAUAUUUUAUGUUUGUGUCCAGCGGCACUGUGGUAUUCGUUCUUUAAGUCGGCUACCUCUUUUUCACUGGUUACAGACAGAGACUGUGGCUUUUAGUAGGUCAGCAUCAAUUAGACUUGGCAGUUAAGGCUCUUGGGAAGGUGACCUAUUUCUUCGGAUUAGGUGUUAUAGCCCUUUGGCUCUAUGCUGGGUUUGAUUGAGGUUAUCAAUGCCUUUGGGUCCUUGUGUGCCUGCCUCGUUUACUAGCGUGGAUCACAAAGUUAUCCUGUUGGGAGUGCGGGGUACUGCAUUCAAGUGCACCCUUUGGUGUUGUGAUGCUGGCGAAAUGGUUUUCAUCGACCCGUCUUGAAACACGGACCAAGGAGUCUAACAUAUAUGCGAGUAUUAGGGUGACUAAACCCUGAUGCGAAAUGAAAGUGAAGGCAGCGCUUGCGUUGCUGAGGUAGGAAACCGGGCUUCGCGCCUGGUGGCACUAUCGACCGACCAUCACUUGUGAAAGGUUUGAGUCUGAGCAUAUCUGUUGGGACCCGAAAGAUGGUGAUCUAUGCCUGAACAGGGUGAAGCCAGGGGAAACUCUGGUGGAGGCUCGUAGCGAUACUGACGUGCAAAUCGUUCGUCUGAUUUGGGUAUAGGGGCGAAAGACUAAUCGAACCAUCUAGUAGCUGGUUCCCUC